GUAAUAGUAGACUUUCAAGAUGGAUGAUAGCGCGGGAGCUUUUGCUUCACAGUGGCCAGAGGAACCUUUGUCUGGCGGCACAGCUACAGCCAAGAUGUCGAAGAUCAUCACAAACGACGUGAAACAUGUGCUUUACCUUGUCCCUGUUCAACAGAUUUGAUACAACCAUUCUCCAUUAAGCUGUGGACACUGCACUUGAAGACCUGUUACGUCAAGUCCAGAAUUCAGAGCCAGAUAACCCAAAACCUAAUGGGCUCACAACAGGUGGAUAACGUUGCAUCCGCACAAAUCAGAUGGUUUGAUGGUGAUGAACCUGUCUGAGCAGCAGAGGGAUGACAUCUUAAUAGUUGCAUUUUCUUUUCUCCCCAUGUCUUAUUAGAAAAUAUUGACUGACUUUUCACUGUCCACUCAGCAUAUGAAGGCAUUCCUCAACCAGACUGGCCAUGGAUUGACAGUGACGAUCAUCCAUACACAGUGAGCAUCCAGAAUUGUACAACAGAAUUCCUGAGGACAAACAUGGAG